CGGUGUUGGUUUUGACCAUGUAUUCGGUAAAUGAAUGGCCAGGUUUUCCAGUGAUAGUAUGAUCGACAUGAGCACCCGAUGAAGUAAAAGCAAUCAUUCCAUUCGCAACACGUAUUAAAACUCGGAACAUUGGUGCGUCAAGGAGCUUUUUCAAAGGUGAAGGAAGUUCGCGGAGUGGUAGGAGCUCAACUUCCUUGUUACAACAUAUGUAGAACCUUCUAUUG
rnacentral:lncRNA from 1 species